rnacentral:rRNA from 1 species
GAUGAACGCUGGCGGCGUGCCUAAUACAUGCAAGUCGAGCGAACAGACGAGGAGCUUGCUCCUUUGACGUUAGCGGCGGACGGGUGAGUAACACGUAGGUAACCUACCUAUAAGACUGGGAUAACUUCGGGAAACCGGAGCUAAUACCGGAUAAUAUUUCGAACCGCAUGGUUCGAUAGUGAAAGAUGGCUUUGCUAUCACUUAUAGAUAGACCUGCGCCGUAUUAGCUAGUUGGUAAGGUAACGGCUUACCAAGGCAACGAUACGUAGCCGACCUGAGAGGGUGAUCGGCCACACUGGAACUGAGACACGGUCCAGACUCCUACGGGAGGCAGCAGUAGGGAAUCUUCCGCAAUGGGCGAAAGCCUGACGGAGCAACGCCGCGUGAGUGAUGAAGGUCUUCGGAUCGUAAAACUCUGUUAUUAGGGAAGAACAAACGUGUAAGUAACUGUGCACGUCUUGACGGUACCUAAUCAGAAAGCCACGGCUAACUACGUG